rnacentral:ncRNA from 1 species
AUCGCGAGGAUCUUGGCGAUAUAGGGGAUCAAUGGAAGGUUCAGGAUCAGCAGAACCAGAUUGCCGAUGAACAUGGAGAUGAUGACCGCCCAGAACACCUCUGGCGUAUCGGUCAUCAGGCGCGGCCC